UCAAGCUACAAAGAGCACAAGGGGAAUGCCUUGGCACCGAGAGCCGAAGAAGGACGUGACUAACUGCGAUAAGCUGCGGGGAGCCGUAAGUAGGCUUUGAUCCGCAGAUUUCCGAAUGGAGCAAUCCGGCAAGAGGAAAGUCUUGUCAUCAUAUACUGAAUACAUAGGUAUAUGAGGGGAACCGCCUGAACUGAAACAUCUAAGUAGGGCGAGGAAGAGAAAUCAACUGAGAUUCCGUAAGUAGUGGCGAGCGAACGCGGAAGAGGCCAAACCGAGAGUAGUAAUACUUUCGGGGUUCGGACAGAAUACGGCAUUGUAAAGGUUUAGUGGAAUGGAAUGGGAAGUCCAACCGAAGAAGGUGAGAGUCCUGUACACGAAAAGCCUGAACAGCCAUCUGUAUCCAGAGUACCGCCGGACACGUGAAACCCGGUGGGAAUAUGGGGGGACCACCCUCCAAGCCUAAAUACUACCCAGUGACCGAUAGUGUAUAGUACUGUGAAGGAAAGGUGAAAAGCACCCCGGGAGGGGAGUGAAAAAGAACCUGAAACCCUGUGCCUACAAGCACCUAGAGCACGUCAAAGUGUGAUAGGGUACUUUUUGUAGAACGGUCCGGCGAGCGAUUGUAUGCAGCAAGGUUAAGGACUUAAGGUCUGGAGCCGAAGCGAAAGCGAGUUUGAAAAGGGCGUUAAGUUGCAUAUAAUGGGCCCGAAACCGGGUGACCUACCCAUGGUCAGGUUGAAGUGGAAGUAAAAUUCCAUGGAGGACCGAACCGACCUCCGUUGAAAAGGCGGCGGAUGAACUGUGGGUAGCGGAGAAAUUCCAAUCGAACCCGGAGAUAGCUGGUUCUCUCCGAAAUAGUUUUAGGACUAGCCUCGUAUUAGAUUACCGGAGGUAAAGCACUGAAUGAGCUAGGGGCCGAGAGGUUACUGAACUCUAUCAAACUCAGAAUGCCGGAUAAUUGAUGUACGGGAGUCAGACAGUGUGAGAUAAGUUUCAUUGUCAAAAGGGAAACAGCCCAGACCCACAGCUAAGGUCCCCAAGUAUAGUUAAGUGGAAAAGGAUGUGGAAUUGCACAGACAACCAGGAUGUUGGCUUAGAAGCAGCCACUCAUUAAAAGAGUGCGUAAUAGCUCACUGGUCGAGUGACUCUGCGCGGAAAAUAUAACGGGGCUAAGCGUAACACCGAAGCUUGGGCUGCACAGCAAUGUGCGGGGUAGGGGAGCGUCGAAUAUGGGGUGAAGUCGCAGCGGAAGCAGCGGUGGACUGUAUUCGAGUGAGAAUGCCGGAAUGAGUAGCGAGAAUUAUGUGGGAAUCAUAAUGGCCGAAAAUCUAAGGUUUCCUGGGGAAGGUUCGUCCGCCCAGGGUAAGCCGGGAGCUAAGGCGAGGCCGAAAGGCGUAGUCGAUGCACAUACGGUUGAAAUUCCGUAGCCACCGAAACUUAAACCAGAAGGACACUUGGAGCUAUCCGAACCCGGGCGUUGGUUGACCCGGGCGUAAGGGACCGAAAUUAAGUAGGGAAGUCGGAGAAUGACGAGGCGAGAAAAGUUCUGGUGUAUGCUAAGGUGCCCGUACCGCAAACCGACACAGGUAGAUGAGGAGAGAAUCCUAAGGCCAACGGGAGAAGGGUUGUUAAGGAACUCGGCAAGUUGACCCCGUAACUUCGGAAUAAGGGGAGCCUCGAAAGAGGCCGCAGUGAAAAGGCCCAAGCAACUGUUUACCAAAAACACAGGUCUAUGCUAAAUCGAAAGAUGACGUAUAUGGGCUGACGCCUGCCCGGUGCCGGAAGGUUAAGAGGAGAUGUCAGCGCAAGCGAAGCAUUGAAUUGAAGCCCCGGUAAACGGCGGCCGUAACUAUAACGGUCCUAAGGUAGCGAAAUUCCUUGUCGGGUAAGUUCCGACCCGCACGAAAGGCGUAA
rnacentral:rRNA from 1 species